UUUUAGUAGAGACGGGGUUUCACUAUGUUGGCCAGGCUGGUCUUCAACUCCUGAUUCAGCUGAUCCACCCGCCUUGGCCUCCCAAUAUGUUGGGAUUACAGGCGUGAGCCACUGUGCCUGGCCUUAUAUAUCUAUUAAAUAAUGUAUGAAGUAAUCUUUUGUGUAGUUUCCUAAAAUAACCUAUACUAUAGUUUUGCAUGUUAUAAAAUUUUUAAUAAAUGCUAUUAUACUAUAUGUAUCCUGCAAUUAUUUUAUCAUUAUGUUUUUGAGACUUAAUGUAUAUUAGUACAUGAAGUUUUAGCUCACUUAUUUUUACUGCUAAUACAGUAGUUAAUAUUUAAUUAUAUAAAUGUACCAUAAGAAUUUUUUUUCAUUUUCCUACUUGAGAACAUUUAGUAAUUUGCAAAUGUUAGCUCUUACAACAAUGUUGCCACAGACAUUACUGGAAAUGUCUUCUUGCACGCAUAUGCUAGGGUAUACAGUGAAGGGUAGAGUUGCUGACUCAUGAUGUUUCAGAAUUGCUGAGUCAUUACAUUUUAGCUUUGGUGAAAAGUGAUUUCAUAAAUUAGUUUGGGAAUCACUUCAGUGUGCCUAGAGAUUAAUCUGAAACAUUUAGGCGCUAUCCUAAUUAACUUACACAUAUAUGCCCAAGUCAUCAUCAGUACCCACAUGGGAAAUUGGUACUGUGGUGACUAUCCACAGUUUUAAGGAAGGAAACAGAGACUGAAGAAGGUGCUUACAAACAUAGAACUGCUAGAGGUGGAGCCCAGAAUGUCAGUUUGAGAGAAAAUAGUAAUUCCUCGAAAGAAUGUAUGAUAUAGAUGGAGUUUAGAGUUCGCUUUUGAAUUUAGCAGGGUGCUAAGUCGACAGUAGGGCACAGAGGGAAAGAACAUUUCUGAUUUGCUUUCUUUUUUCCUUUACUGGUUUUCACACAUGAAGAACAAGUUGGAUGAACUCAACAAACGGCUUCAUACAAAAGGGUCUACAGAAGCUGAAACCAGGAAAUUCAGAGGCAGCAGAAAUGAAAACAAGGAAAACAUUAAUGGAAAUUUUGAACCUAGGAAAGGUUUGGUUUGAGUUUUGAAGGAAAGUCUGGGUUGUUUUACUGCCCCUAAGUACUACUGUUACGAUUUGCUGGCGUUUUAUUUGUUUAUUAUAUUUCAUUUAUUUAAUAUUGUCAGAUUAUGUUCUAAUCCUUAGGGGUGGGUCCCCAAAUUUGGCAGCUUAACUAAGGCUUCUACAUUUACUGCAAUGCUGGAGCAGCCGAACUACCCAGAACAGGCUUGUGUUGUAAUAGUGUGGGCCGCUUUGUCUCAAAUCCGCAGUUCUAUCUGGGAGGGUCUUGCAAAGUAUUCUACAAAGACUUUUCUCCAUUACUUGCAUAGAAUGGUAAGACUUUAAUUAAAGCAACAUGUAUACAUUAUUUAAUAAGUGUUUUUCAGAACUGAUUUUCUCUAGUAGAAAAAAUAGUACAAGAAUUUAUUAUUUUUUUAAAUUUAUCACUUAAGGAAUUGUGAAUUGCCUAAGCCUCAGUCUCUAAAUAUUUUGGUCAGUAGGGCCCCACAUUUCCAAGAAUCUAUGGAAGUUUUGACUUUAGCCUAUCCAAAGUGGGCAGAUCAAGCUCCAGGUAUUUAUUGCAGAGUGUGGAAUGAAGAUUUUCAUACUGAACUCCCAUCUCUUCUUCCACAAAGAGUAAAGCUUCAGACCUUUUUUUCCUAAGAAGGGAGCUUUCCUUUGGAUGUCUGAAUCUGCACUGGGGGUCUUCAUUGAGUUCUUUGGUAACUGAUGAGCUUCCCUCUUCUGUACUUAGAAGACCCUCUUGAAUGCCCACUUAUUUUAUCUAUACAUGUUCCUUUAAGUUCUUACCUAAAGACUUCUCCUCUGUAUGACAAAGCUGCUUACUUUAAAUGCUCAUCACUACUCACUUUUUAUGCUGAAGGAAUGCAUAUUUGAGUUGCUGUAUGCAUACAAUGAUCAACAUGUGCCUUCUUCUUAAUUAAAUCAUUGGUGUACCUGAUAAGCCUCUUCAGGGGUCAAAAUAAUUAAUUCUACAGAAAUCCAAUCCUAUUGGCUUUCCAUUCAGCUGAAUCAUUUCAAAAUUUAUUACAUAAUGUUUCCUUUAUAUACAAAUCGUAAAUUCUUUACAACUAAAAAAAGCAUUCUGUAAAUACAGCAUUUACAUUAUGGGUUUGAUAACUGUAAGGCUUGACCCAUGGUUAGGUGAUCAGAUCAACCACAAACGUGUUAGGAAAACUAGCUUGAUUAAAUUAAGGAGAGGGUGCUAUAUUAAUAAUGAGUAAGCUAGCCAUUUUAGGUAACUUGACUCUUCCAAUAUUUCUUUAACAUUUGAUGUAAAAUUUAAUAUGCAUCUAACAGUUUAUUUUUUUUCUUUUUUAGAGAGACACCUCCUCUAUGGGCGACCUGCAGUGCUUUAUCGGACUAGAUAUGAUAUCUUAUAUCACACUGACUUUGAAAGUGGUUAUAGUCAAAUAUUCCUAAUGCCACUCUGGACAUCAUAUACUGUUUCCAAACAGGCUGAGGUUUCCAGCAUUCCUGACCAUCUGACCAGUUGCGUCCGGCCUGAUGUCCGUGUUUCUCCGAGUUUCAGUCAGAACUGUUUGGCCUACAAAAAUGAUAAGCAGAUGUCCUACGGAUUCCUCUUUCCUCCUUAUCUGAGCUCUUCACCAGAGGCUAAAUAUGAUGCAUUCCUUGUAACCAAUAUGGUUCCAAUGUAUCCUGCCUUCAAACGGGUCUGGAAUUAUUUCCAAAGGGUAUUGGUGAAGAAAUAUGCUUCGGAAAGAAAUGGAGUUAACGUGAUAAGUGGACCAAUCUUCGACUAUGACUAUGAUGGCUUACAUGACACAGAGGACAAAAUAAAACAGUACGUGGAAGGCAGUUCCAUUCCUGUUCCAACUCACUACUACAGCAUCAUCACCAGCUGUCUGGAUUUCACUCAGCCUGCCGACAAGUGUGACGGCCCUCUCUCUGUGUCCUCCUUCAUCCUGCCUCACCGGCCUGACAACGAGGAGAGCUGCAAUAGCUCAGAGGACGAAUCAAAAUGGGUAGAAGAACUCAUGAAGAUGCACACAGCUCGGGUGCGUGACAUUGAACAUCUCACCAGCCUGGACUUCUUCCGAAAGACCAGCCGCAGCUACCCAGAAAUCCUGACACUCAAGACAUACCUGCAUACAUAUGAGAGCGAGAUUUAACUUUCUGAGCAUCUGCAGUACAGUCUUAUCAACUGGUUGUAUAUUUUUAUAUUGUUUUUGUAUUUAUUAAUUUGAAACCAGGACAUUAAAAAUGUUAGUAUUUUAAUCCUGUACCAAAUCGGACAUAUUAUGCCUGAAUGACUCCACUGUUUUUCUCUAAUGCUUGAUUUAGGUAGCCUUGUGUUCUGAGUAGAGCUUGUAAUAAAUACUGCAGCUUGAGUUUUUAGUGGAAGCUUCUAAAUGGUGCUGCAGAUUUGAUAUUUGCAUUGAGGAAAUAUUAAUUUUCCAAUGCACAGUUGCCACAUUUAGUUCUGUACUGUAUGGAAACACUGAUUUUGUAAAGUUGCCUUUAUUUGCUGUUAACUGUUAACUAUGACAGAUAUAUUUAAGCCUUAUAAACCAAUCUUAAACAUAAUAAAUCACACAUUCAGUUU
rnacentral:sRNA from 1 species